UCUUAUCCACGUGAGAGGAUAAAGAUGAGUAAUUGCACAUUUGAAUUCAAAUCAAAUUUUGAAUUCAAAUGGAAACCAAUUUAUUCCUAUCCACUAAGGACAUGAGAAGAGGAGGCCGUGGCUUAAUUUGUGCAUGAGUGAUUUCAUGAGAAACAUUUUCUCGUGUAAUAAAUGGGGCGUUAAAAGAGGAUAAGGUCAAGGCGCUAAGAUU
rnacentral:lncRNA from 1 species